GAACACUUCAUAUUCUACUCAGGGCUGGUAUGAAGGCACUGGCAGCCACCCUAGGGAAAAGGGGAUAAUUACAUUCAGACAUAAUUCAGGCUUGGGAUCAUGGUGUGUUGUGGAUUGCACAGUGGCCCCAAAAGGUUCUCAUCUACCACCUGGGUACCUGCUGUUUGUAAUAACUGGACACUGAAGGCUGGAAUGAACCCGAAGACUACAUUGAACCCUGGAUCUUCUCAAAACUGCAUUGCUUUUUCAAUGGAAGCUCAAGACUUUCAAUUUUUGAGAGGUCCAAGGAGAUGAUUCAUAAUGGAUUAAAGUCACCAGUCAAGAACUACAGUCUAUGCAUGUUGUGUUCAAGAAAAAAGCCGUGGUUGACUAACGCUAUGGUUCUAUUAAUCUGUAGUUCCAACACAGUGUGACUUUUUCCCCCUCGGAAGGGUUUCCUCGCAAUCUGCCCUUUCCAUCACGGGUACUGGAUGAUGCUACAGAUGGAGGUUGUUGCCAUUUAUAUUCCAAUCAAUUCGGGUCUGUGGAAGAGCGUAUCUCUUACAGAUGCGAUACUGUUCAUCUGAGUGCAUCCUCAAAAAGAACAAUUAUGAACUGGAAACUCAUAGAGUUUGUUUUAAAAUUUAUAAAAUUAAACCUGCUCCAACAGGUAAUACAGGGAGGCAUGCUUGCAACCUCUGGAUUCAAUCAGAAACAAUGCCUGAGAGCACAGAGCCUUCUCAAUAGGUAACGGCGGGUUCCUUUUAAUGCUUCCUUAAACAAGAUCCGAUGUGAUGCACAUUAGAACUUUGAAGCACGUCUCAUUUAUUUCUACAAGGCCUGGGACACAGGAAGCUGCCAGAACUUCAUUCAUCAUCUUGCCUGUUGACAAAAGGAACAAUAGCUGGUCAUCACUGGUCAAUGGAAUAUAACUUUCCCUAGUUUUUUUUUUUUUUUUCCAAGAUAAUUCCUAAAGAAGAGAUGGUGUCAACACAACAGCAAAUGUUUCAAUAUUUGAAGAAUUUCUGUGCUCUACAAAGCCAUGUCUUCUUCCAGGACAGCAGGAAGAACCAGAGUAUGCCAUGUUCAUCUCUCUCCUCAUGCUGGAAUUAUUCAGGAGAGACCCCUGUCCUGGAAGUCAGCAUGCCCAGACUCCAGAUGAGGUUCCACCAAUAGCUAACAGUGUCACCUGACCUUGCUGGGCUAGUCAUUCCUUCAUGUAUACACUAGGAAGACCCCAAUGGAUGAGUUCUAAAGAGAAGGCCAAUCCAAUGACAUUAAUGGGUCCAUGAGGUCCUGCCUCCAUAGCUCCAUUCAGAGCACAACCAGGUGUAACCACUUCAGUCUGUAGCAGUGGUUAGACUUACAAGAUACCUAAACCUGUGGUGCUCUGGUCCUAGUUCUGCUUGGAGUUUUGAAUCAGCUGAUCUUUCAGAGAUGUCACAAAAUAUCUGAUAGUGCAUGAAGUCGAUUACAAUCUUAUGUGAUGAUGUCACUAAGCUAUAUGGGUAUAAACUUCUGAAAAUACCCAUUUCCACAUCUUUUGCUGUCUUAAGAUCUAAGAAGUGCCUUUGGUGGUGGUGGUGGUGGCAUACCUGCUGGUUUUCUUAAAAAAUAAUUCCAUAAAAGCUGAAAAACACAUUUAAAAAGUAGAGGAACACAGAAGCAUUCUGUAAGAACCUACUACAUAGUCAUAAAAUACAACUAGUUGAGCUCAUUUAAGUAGUUAUAACUAGUAAUAUUACCAAAGCACGCAUUGCCAAAGUGAGGUGUAGACACAGGAAGUCUGACCUUAAAACUGAUGCUUUCAACCACAAUACAAAAUGACCUCACCAUAACCUGUGAAAAUUAUAAUGAAUUGGGGUCGAAAAGUUUAAUGGGACUUUCAUAGAUGCCAUAGGUACAACCAGGAAUUAAGUUAAAUAUUUGGACAUUUAGGGCAAUUAGUUUCCAUUAGGAACAAAAUCAUAAGCUUCAGCAAUCGAAAAACUCUAUUUAGUAAUUCUAAUUUGAUCUUUAUGCCUCUGUGGCUGGUAAAACUUAGACGAUGCCAGAAUAACAAUUUAUUUAUAUUAUAUCAUAUUAUUGUAAUUAUUUUUGAGGGCAUCCCAGUUGUGAUGUGGGAUAAGAAAAAUGCUGAAUAGGUUUUUCAUGUUUCCACUGUGUGUUUGGCAUAAGGGGAGGAGACACAACUCUGAAAUGCGUUAAUGAUCCACAUGAAACAAAAUGGGCACCAAAAUACCGUCUGUUACUUCGGAUUAUCCUAAGCAUUUCGCUAAUGCGUUGAUCCUUCAAAUGCCAUUUUAAAAGCUACUCAAGAGGAAACGACAAUGAAAAUCAGCUCAUCUUGACUAUCAUAGCUAUAGCCUCUCAAGUCACAGUCAUUUCCCGAAGUCUGGAUUAAGAUUGGCCAGGGUGUGAAGAGGAUAGGGUUAUUGUCCGGAGCAAAUCAGCAUCUGCGUGGUAAAAGGCACCAAGGCCAUACUGGGAAACAAAACGAAAAAGACAGAUUCACUCAAAUUGUCAGGGGGACAUACAGGAAUGAUCUACGAACACACGCAUGUACCUACCGACACAGACCAAAUGUGUCUUGUGCUGCCAAGUUAGAGAAGUCAAGAUUUCUGUCUUGAUCAACUUGAAAUAAGCCAAUAGCUGCUUCACCCCAGAUAUCCAGGCUACGAGACAUGCGAAUGGCCACCCCAUACUGUGACCUAAGUGCAGGACUGCUGAUGAGAGGCCAGCGGUGACCAGGACAGCAGGCGAGGCCCCCCUGCUUCCAGGACAGCCAUAUCCUUUCUUACUUGCCGAAACCCCGUUCUAGAAACAGUGGUCUGGUCUCUGGGUCAAUUAUUGGGGUGACAGAAGUGUGAAGGAGUAAAGACCAGGCAGUGUUUACUCACUGUAAAGAACCCACCCCGGGCAGGCCAGCUGCAAGGAGGAACAGAAAUUAACGUCAAUUACAAUGUAAAGGCUCUGUGGCCUAGUUCAUAUUUUACCCCGUUCAAGUACACUUGUUCUGAUUUCCAAAUGAUCCAUUGGAGCAGGCUGGAAACUGCCUAAAGCCUAGAGAAUCAUUUCUAAAUUACAGUUGAGAAAGAGAAUCUAUAGAGAGGCUCUGACCCCCUUUGCAUUAAUCUUCAUUUCUUCCUCAGCAAAACUCUCAUCAGAGCUGCCAGCGAUCAGCAAAGCUGACCAACCAGAAUUCACUGCCUUCGUCUCUCCUGUUCUCUCCAAAGGGAGAAGGCGUGAGAUUACGAAGCCAGCCGCAGAAAACCUACCCAGAGUGCGAUCUGUUCCAGCACCAAGGCAUGGGAUUCAUCACCGCUGGGCUAAGGAGAUGAUGGAGAAAUACCAAGAAAACUAGGUCCUUGCAAACAGACUUUCAGAUCCAAGCCUCAGCCAGCCUGCCCUGCCACGUCGAAAAGGAAGUGCCAGAGUUAUUCAUGGAUGCCAGACCCCAAUCUGCCUCGUCCAGCUGAUCCGUCUGGUCAGCCCAUAUGGGAGCAGGAUGGCUGGCACAGAUCUGAAAGUAUCAGUGUGUGCAGACAUGUUCUAACAUCAUUUGCUAAUGUUUCAUUGUUCUGUAGUUAAAAACCUACUUAAAAUGUGUGGAGCGACGUCCCAUUAGAUUAGAACAGUAUGAAGUUGGGUCUUUCCAAGUACUAAGUGUAAGAAUAAUUAAAAUAAAAUAAAAGCAAUUAUU